UUAGGUUUACGAGCAAGAUUGACUAACUUUGUUACACAGAGUCAGACGAACUCAUAACUAGGAGUAAGGCUGGAGGACUGAGUGUCUAUAAGAAGUCAACACAAUCUGGAAGAUUGGAAUCAACAUGUCUGGCAGUCUCACUACAGGCAGCAGCUCCCCUGGGUUCACUACUAUAGCACCUCCCAGCACAGGUCUGAGUCUGGAUGCUGCUGACAUCACUGUGGUUGCUGUCUAUUUUAUCCUUGUCAUGGUGGUUGGAAUCUGGUCAUCAGUACGAGCCAAUCGCAGCACUGUAGGGGGCUACUUCUUGGCUGGUCGUUCAAUGACCUGGUGGCUU